CCCGUCUCAGGGUCACACCUGGAGAGUUUCCAGCACUCUACCAGUCUCGGCUACGGGAGGGAGAGUCAAGCAGAGGCAUACCCAUUCCACUCCUAGCUUAGGCAGUGUCUAGCAGCUGGAAGGCAAUCUGCUACAAGU